CCUUAUCUUAUUCAUAGCCUUAUAAUGCAUCUAUCUCUUUAAUUGAUUGAUUAUACUGACCUCUCCUCUAUUUCGAGAAUGAUAUAUGCUAAUUAACUUUAUCAGCUAUUAUAAAUUCCUCAUCUGGUGUGCAUGAGCUUAUCAACCCUUGUUGUUUUAAGUUGUAACAUACAGAGGGCUCGUGCAUAACUACAUUAAUGCCCUAAGUAAUUGCCCUCAGAUUCACUCGGUGGUGUUCUUGAAUCUUGACGUAGUUGAUAUUGGGUUAGGAUCUAGGUAAUCUGCAUCCUGAGGUUUAGAGCAGUUUAUGGUUUUGUUGAUCAAUCUAGUCCUCAGGAUACAGAUUACCUCGUCCUUACUGACAAUGCAUUAUCUGUUCAAUCUUCUUGUGAAUACAAAAGAAACAGGAUACUUAAAGGUAGCAGUCGUUGGAGGUGCGCUAUGUUUCAUGCGGCAACGUAAAUCGGAAUGUUCCCCAAAUUCAUGCAAAUCCAAUCGGGGUAUUUACUUCAAGAAAUGACUUCAGAUAGGACAUGGACGGGAAAAUGGCAGCUUCCGGUCUUUGAGUCCACUCAUAGAUCAUGUGAUAGUAUGUAAUAGUCUCACGUAUUUUCAUACGUUUUCAUAAAUUACUUAUUAUCAUUACCUUUUUUUUUAUGUUUAUCAUUAUAUAUUACUCACCAUAUCAUACAUCAUGCACCAUCAUUUCUUACAUUACCAUAUACCAUGAUACUAUGUAGCUGUUGCAUGUACCCAUGAUUUACAAAUAUUUUCCCAGAUGUACACUUCAAUGAUUAUGGUGGCAUGUUCACUGCCACUGUGCUAAAGCAGAUAGCUGCUGAUUUAGACGUGCAUAUGUUUUACGAAUAAAUUCGAACUUGCCAUUGUAUUCCUUGGGGCAAUUUUUGUCCAGUAUCCUGAUUGAUAAUUAAUUUUAGACCAACUAAACAUGAAUGCUUUAUGGAGGAUUGCCCAAGAAUUUUCCCCCACUUCCUCCUUAGCAUAUUCCAAUAAAGGAAAAGGGAAAGAUCGCUUUCUGAGGGAUCAGCAAGCAAAUGGGAUACUGAACUCGUUUUAAAGCAUAUUUUGAUCUCCUUAAAAAUUCCAAGUUGCAGGAAAAAGCUACCUGCAAAUUUGUAAAGCUGCAUUGGGUGAUGAACAGACUUUAAGGAUCAAACUUUACCAAUGCAUCCCAUUCCAUAUUAUAAAAAACAAGUCUCUCUCUUAGAGUUAAGAACUAAAGAUUUGAGUAUGGAUGGUAAUGCGAGCAGGUGCUGGAGAGAAAUGGAGCAGAAGAGGACAAAUUGGCUCCAUCCGAUCCUGGAUGAGAGGAGUCAAUCUCCGACAACACAUGAAAUUAAAUGAAGUAAUUGUAUAGUUAAAAUUAAUGGAUGAGGAAAGAAUAUAUACUGUUUCUUGUUUAUCUUCUUUCUUGUGUAUCGCUUGUAGUAAAAAAAAUAAAUAAUAAUAAAGAAAAAGCGAGUGUAUUUUGUUA